rnacentral:rRNA from 1 species
AGGACGAACGCUGGCGGCGUGCCUAAUACAUGCAAGUCGAGCGGACCGACGGGAGCUUGCUCCCUUAGGUCAGCGGCGGACGGGUGAGUAACACGUGGGUAACCUGCCUGUAAGACUGGGAUAACUCCGGGAAACCGGGGCUAAUACCGGAUGCUUGAUUGAACCGCAUGGUUCAAUCAUGAAAGGCGGCUUCGGCUGCCGUUUACAGAUGGACCCGCGGCGCAUUAGCUAGUUGGUGAGGUAACGGCUCACCAAGGCGACGAUGCGUAGCCGACCUGAGAGGGUGAUCGGCCACACUGGGACUGAGACACGGCCCAGACUCCUACGGGAGGCAGCAGUAGGGAAUCUUCCGCAAUGGACGAAAGUCUGACGGAGCAACGCCGCGUGAGUGAUGAAGGUUUUCGGAUCGUAAAGCUCUGUUGUUAGGGAAGAACAAGUACCGUUCGAAUAGGGCGGUACCUUGACGGUACCUAACCAGAAAGCCACGGCUAACUACGUGCCAGCAGCCGCGGUAAUACGUAGGUGGCAAGCGUUGUCCGGAAUUAUUGGGCGUAAAGCGCGCGCAGGCGGUUUCUUAAGUCUGAUGUGAAAGCCCCCGGCUCAACCGGGGAGGGUCAUUGGAAACUGGGGAACUUGAGUGCAGAAGAGGAGAGUGGAAUUCCACGUGUAGCGGUGAAAUGCGUAGAGAUGUGGAGGAACACCAGUGGCGAAGGCGACUCUCUGGUCUGUAACUGACGCUGAGGCGCGAAAGCGUGGGGAGCGAACAGGAUUAGAUACCCUGGUAGUCCACGCCGUAAACGAUGAGUGCUAAGUGUUAGAGGGUUUCCGCCCUUUAGUGCUGCAGCAAACGCAUUAAGCACUCCGCCUGGGGAGUACGGUCGCAAGACUGAAACUCAAAGGAAUUGACGGGGGCCCGCACAAGCGGUGGAGCAUGUGGUUUAAUUCGAAGCAACGCGAAGAACCUUACCAGGUCUUGACAUCCUCUGACAUCCCUAGAGAUAGGGCUUCCCCUUCGGGGGCAGAGUGACAGGUGGUGCAUGGUUGUCGUCAGCUCGUGUCGUGAGAUGUUGGGUUAAGUCCCGCAACGAGCGCAACCCUUGAUCUUAGUUGCCAGCAUUCAGUUGGGCACUCUAAGGUGACUGCCGGUGACAAACCGGAGGAAGGUGGGGAUGACGUCAAAUCAUCAUGCCCCUUAUGACCUGGGCUACACACGUGCUACAAUGGACAGAACAAAGGGCAGCGAAGCCGCGAGGCUCAGCCAAUCCCACAAAUCUGUUCUCAGUUCGGAUCGCAGUCUGCAACUCGACUGCGUGAAGCUGGAAUCGCUAGUAAUCGCGGAUCAGCAUGCCGCGGGUGAAUACGUUNCCCGGGGCUUGUACACACCGCCCGUCACACCACGAGAGUUUGUAACACCCGAAGUCGGUGAGGUAACCUUUUGGAGCCAGCCGCCGAAGGUGGGACAGAUGAUUGGGGUGA